CACAUACCUUGAAAGAGUGUGAAUGUCAAAGAAUGACGCGUCGUUAGGAUCGGUGUACGAGUUCUUGAAGCGGUGCCGACUCGCCGGUAAUCGGAUCACUCCAAAUCGUUCAGGUCGAUCCGGCGUCGUACGACUCCUCUUCGUCUCUUGACGUACUCGUCAUGAUCGGAGAGCACGACGUUGAAAUAGAACCCCUCGUUGCGCUCGAAAAAUCUGAGGCCGAUGAAGGCGUGCUUGUCGGUGCCGUCCUCGAUCUUAAGGACGAAGUAGCUCGACGAGUCGAGCACGGUCUCGAUGGAGGUCGCUGGAGUUUGGAUCCUCAAGUCGGAUCUCGCACUGGUCGAUUGAUUUGUGUGAUCGCGGUGGUGAAGAUGUUGACAAAGUUUGAGACGAAGAGUAAUAAGAGUGAAGGGAGUACUGCGCUUCCAUACUAAGAUGCCGUGGAUCCUCGCGAGUCUGCACAGUGGUGUGAUCCAGCUAUGGGACGGACCUCUUCGCGGUGUUCAUUUCCACAAAUCUCAGCCUCUCUUUGUGUUUGGAGGCGACGAUUACAAGAUUAAAGUUUGUAACUACAAGCUGCAUAUAUGUCUUUUUCCUCUUCUCUGGCAUCUAAUUAUAUUCGUCCCGUGCAAUCUCACUUUUUUAUGCUUGAAGCUUUGUUGAAUGAUUUGUACAAUGAUGCAAGUUUUAUAAUGGUCUAUGCUCCAUAUGCUCUAUGCACUUUAGUGAUUCUCAUUAAGGUUUAUGAAUACCAUUCUUUUUAAGGCAAUGAUUUCUUAUUCUUGGUCCCCAUAUGGAGGAUUUCUUAAUCUUUACAAGCAACAUGCCUUUUA